GGGGUCGUAGCCCAAUUGGCAUGAGGCAAACGGCUUAGGACCGUUUCAGUGCGGGUUCGAGUCCCGCCGACCCCACC
rnacentral:tRNA from 1 species